UACGUAGGGUGCAAGCGUUACUCGGAAUUAUUGGGCGUAAAGCGCGCGCAGGCGGUUUCUUAAGUCUGAUGUGAAAGCCCACGGCUCAACCGUGGAGGGUCAUUGGAAACUGGGGAACUUGAGUGCAGAAGAGAAAAGCGGAAUUCCACGUGUAGCGGUGAAAUGCGUAGAGAUGUGGAGGAACACCAGUGGCGAAGGCGGCUUUUUGGUCUGUAACUGACGCUGAGGCGCGAAAGCGUGGGGAGCAAACAGG
rnacentral:rRNA from 1 species